AGAGCGAACGCUGGCGGCAUGCCUAAUACAUGCAAGUCGAACGAACUCUUCGGAGUUAGUGGCGCACGGGUGCGUAACGCGUGGGAAUCUGCCCCUUGGUUCGGAAUAACAGUUGGAAACGACUGCUAAUACCGGAUGAUGACGAAAGUCCAAAGAUUUAUCGCCAAGGGAUGAGCCCGCGUAGGAUUAGCUAGUUGGUGAGGUAAAGGCUCACCAAGGCAACGAUCCUUAGCUGGUCUGAGAGGAUGAUCAGCCACACUGGGACUGAGACACGGCCCAGACUCCUACGGGAGGCAGCAGUAGGGAAUAUUGGACAAUGGGCGAAAGCCUGAUCCAGCAAUGCCGCGUGAGUGAUGAAGGCCUUAGGGUUGUAAAGCUCUUUUACCCGAGAUGAAUAAUGACAGUAUCGGAGAAUAAGCCCCGUACGUAACCUCCGUGCCAGCAGCCGAC
rnacentral:rRNA from 1 species